rnacentral:rRNA from 1 species
CCUACGGGUGGCAGCAGUGGGGAAUAUUGCACAAUGGGGGAAACCCUGAUGCAGCGACGCCGCGUGAGUGAAGAAGUAGAUCGGUAUGUAAAGCUCUAUCAGCAGGGAAGAAAAUGACGGUACCUGAUUAAGAAGCCCCGGCUGAAUACGUGCCAGCAGCCGCGGUCAUACGGAGGGGGCACGAUUUAUCCGGAUUUACUGGGUGAAAAGGGAGCGUAAACGGCAGCACAAGUCUGGAGUGACAUGCCGGGGCUUAACCCCGGAACGUCUUGGGAAACUGUGCAGCUAGAGUGCAGGAGAGGUAAGUGGAAUGCCGAGUGUAGCGGUGAAAUGCGUAGAUAUUAGGAGGAACACCAGUGGCGAAGGCGGCUUACUGGACUGUAACUGACGUUGAGGCUCGAAAGCGUGGGGAGCAAACAGGAUUAGAUACCCGUGUAGUC